rnacentral:rRNA from 1 species
GAUGAACGCUAGCGAUAGGCCUAACACAUGCAAGUCGAGGGGCAUCACAUGAAGUAGCAAUACGGAUGGUGGCGACCGGCGCACGGGGUGAGUAACACGUAUGCAACCUGCCUUCAACAAGGGGAUAACCCGUUGAAAGACGGACUAAUACCCUAUAACACAGGGGUCCCGCAUGGGAAUAUUUGUUAAAGGACAACCGGUUGAAGAUGGGCAUGCGUUCCAUUAGCUAGUUGGCGGGUAACGGCCCACCAAGGCAACGAUGGAUAGGGGAACUGAGAGGUUUAUCCCCCACACUGGUACUGAGACACGGACCAGACUCCUACGGGAGGCAGCAGUGAGGAAUAUUGGUCAAUGGACGCAAGUCUGAACCAGCCACGUCGCGUGAAGGAAGACGGCCCUACGGGUUGUAAACUUCUUUUAUACGGGAAUAAAGUGCCCCACGCGUGGGGUUUUGCAUGUACCGUAUGAAUAAGGAUCGGCUAAC